GAAAACUCUAUCGAAAGCCGCUAACUUUCAUAAAACCAAAUUUGCGUUAGUUUUCU
rnacentral:tRNA from 1 species